rnacentral:rRNA from 1 species
AUUGAACGCUGGCGGCAGGCCUAACACAUGCAAGUCGAACGGUAACAGGAAGCAGCUUGCUGCUUCGCUGACGAGUGGCGGACGGGUGAGUAAUGUCUGGGAAGCUGCCUGAUGGAGGGGGAUAACUACUGGAAACGGUAGCUAAUACCGCAUAAUGUCGCAAGACCAAAGAGGGGGACCUUCGGGCCUCUUGCCAUCGGAUGUGCCCAGAUGGGAUUAGCUUGUUGGUGGGGUAACGGCUCACCAAGGCGACGAUCCCUAGCUGGUCUGAGAGGAUGACCAGCCACACUGGAACUGAGACACGGUCCAGACUCCUACGGGAGGCAGCAGUGGGGAAUAUUGCACAAUGGGCGCAAGCCUGAUGCAGCCAUGCCGCGUGUAUGAAGAAGGCCUUCGGGUUGUAAAGUACUUUCAGGGGAGGGUAUAUACCU